GGUUGCCUUUCCAAGCUGACUUCAGGCAAAUGGCAGACUACACCCCAGGACUGGUCACCGGUCAAUCCCAUUCACAUUCGAAAUCUGGCAAGUAAAAAGAAACCAUUCAAUUUUUCUCUUCAUCUAUUGUCAAAAUCCAGAUUCAUACAUGCCCAGAUACAUCACACAAGUUUUCAGACCUUAGUGAAGGCCUGCUCUCUGCUGACGGUAAUUCUGUGUCCACUCUUGAGGCCAGUCAACAAUACAAAAUCAUUCAGGAAGAUUCCCUGCCGUUCAAGAUUGUUACAUUUGACACAAACUUUUCUUAAAGUUCAAAAGUUCUUCUAUUCAUCCAUCUCAUCACUCGUCUUUCAGGUUACGGCUGAGCAGAAGCAUUUCCCAGCUGACGUUGGGCAGACUUCAAUGAUCCUAACGUGGUGACAAUUCAGCUCCAUUGUUUUAAGGCUUCUUUAUACUCGCAUGGUCGCUGCCCGCACGGACGCCGCUACGUUUUUUCGAGAGAACACAGAGGUACUGUACUACUAAACACAAUAUGUCAAUUGCGUGAUGUCACACAGCAGUACAAAGAAGCCUUUACCUGUAUGUGCUUCAUGUUUUUCUAUUCACUUCUCCACUGUGGCGCUCUGUCAGUCACGCCCACCUUUUUAGCCACUCUGCUCACCUGGGUGCGCAGGUGCUUCAAAUCAGCAAUCAAUGUCUUUGUCGGGUUGGACUUCUGCUCUCCUACAAAACUCUUUUGUGGAUUGCAGGAAAAAGGAUGAACGCUGCACUCCUACUACACUGAAUGCAUUUCCACCGCAGCGAGUCAGAGUAGAAAACAGAGUCCGGCUUUCAAUGUAAUGUGGUGUUUUUCCACAUCCUUGAAGCACUACCAGCACCAGGAAACAAGAGAAAGCCCCCAUUGCUGCUGGCCCGGGCAGGAAAAGGUUGGCGACUGUGAGGCUGGCGGGACGAGAGGUGAAAGCAGAGAAAACACACAGACUUCUGGGUACAGCCUUUAGGACCAAGACAAAGAAGUCUUUUAACAUAAAGUUGAGUGU